rnacentral:rRNA from 1 species
UCCUACGGGAGGCAGCAGUGGGGAAUAUUGCACAAUGGGCGCAAGCCUGAUGCAGCCAUGCCGCGUGUGUGAAGAAGGCCUUCGGGUUGUAAAGCACUUUCAGCGAGGAGGAAGGUGGUGAGCUUAAUACGCUCAUCAAUUGACGUUACUCGCAGAAGAAGCACCGGCUAACUCCGUGCCAGCAGCCGCGGUAAUACGGAGGGUGCAAGCGUUAAUCGGAAUUACUGGGCGUAAAGCGCACGCAGGCGGUUUGUUAAGUCAGAUGUGAAAUCCCCGGGCUCAACCUGGGAACUGCAUUUGAAACUGGCAAGCUAGAGUCUCGUAGAGGGGGGUAGAAUUCCAGGUGUAGCGGUGAAAUGCGUAGAGAUCUGGAGGAAUACCGGUGGCGAAGGCGGCCCCCUGGACGAAGACUGACGCUCAGGUGCGAAAGCGUGGGGAGCAAACAGGAUUAGAUACCCGGGUAGUCCACGCAGUAAGCGA